rnacentral:tRNA from 1 species
UAGCUCAGUUGGGAUAGCGUCAGACUGAAGAUCUGAAGGUCCCUGGUUCAAUCCAGA